rnacentral:lncRNA from 1 species
CACCCUUCUCUGUUGUUAUAAUGUCUUUCCAAAUAGAGUCAAAGGCCAUUGUGUAGGUUCCUACUCACCCCUUUCCAAUCUUAGUCCAAUGUUGCCUUCUUGAUAUCACAACCAAGGUAUCCUAAUAAUGUUUGAGAAGUUCCCAAGCUCUUUGUCCCAGUUUUUGUAGAAAAGCUUCUGGUUCUCUCCCAUGUAAGGCUAAUUCAUACAUGCCAGUGUCAUCAAUAGUUUAGAUCUCAAAAUCAACUUUCUUUUUCUUUUCUUUUUUUAUGUUGCCUGUGUGAACCACUGCCUUGAGUAAAACAUAGUUCUUGUACUAUGUGCUAAUGACUGAAAUUCUGAUGAGAUUAAAGAGCACAAGAUAGAGCCAGUAACUGUUUCUCACUGUGCACGUAUGAAGCUUGCAUUCUUUUUGCAUGUUUUCAGGUUCAACAACAAGACCUAUUGCUAUUUUUGACGUUCAGAAAUUCAAUAAAGAACUGUUGACAUUUGAAGGUCUCAUUCAAGGUGGCAUCUCCAGAAAUAGAGUUCAAGAAAAACUCAUCAGAACACCUUAA